UACGUAGGGUGCAAGCGUUGUCCGGAUUUAUUGGGCGUAAAGAGCUCGUAGGCGGUUCGAUCAGUCGGAUGUGAAACCCCCAGGCUCAACCUGGGGCCACCAUCCGAUACUGUCGUGACUGGAGUCCGGUAGGGGACCAUGGAAUUCCCGGUGUAGCGGUGAAAUGCGUAGAGAUCGGGAGGAACACCAGCGGCGAAGGCGGCGACCUGGACGAGACACUGACACUCAACAACGAAAGCGUGGGGAGCAAACAGG
rnacentral:rRNA from 1 species